rnacentral:rRNA from 1 species
GAUGAACGCUCGCUACAGGCUUAACACAUGCAAGUCGCGGGGCAGCAUGGGGGUUGCUUGCAAUCCCCGAUGGCGACCGGCGCACGGGUGGGUAACGCGUAUCCAACCUGCCCUUCACCACGGGAUAACCCGGCGAAAGUCGGACUAAUACCGUAUGUUGUCCAUUGACGGCAUCCGAUUUGGACGAAAGGUUUGGCGGUGGAGGAUGGGGAUGCGUCCGAUUAGCUGGACGGCGGGGUGACGGCCCACCGUGGCGACGAUCGGUAGGGGUUCUGAGAGGAAGGUCCCCCACACUGGAACUGAGACACGGUCCAGACUCCUACGGGAGGCAGCAGUGAGGAAUAUUGGUCAAUGGGCGUAAGCCUGAACCAGCCAAGUAGCGUGCAGGAUGACGGCCCUAUGGGUUGUAAACUGCUUUUAUGCGGGGAUAAAGUGGCCCACGUGUGGGUUUUUGCAGGUACCGCAUGAAUAAGGACCGGCUAAUUCCGUG